rnacentral:tRNA from 1 species
GGGCGGUUAGCUCAGCUGGGAGAGCGCAUCCCUUACAAGGAUGAGGUCGCUGGUUCGAUCCCAACACCGCCCACCA